UUCAACACAGGAAUUCAGGGGGCUACCUUCAGUUCAUAACAUCUACCGAGAGACAGAGCCUCGCACUGUUUAUACAACUCCACUGACCAAUCCAGAUACACAUGGAGGCUUGAGAGCCAUGACUUCAGAGACAGCAGCAGUAUCCCAGGAUGAAAUUCACCUACUGAGGUGGGAGAUAGGCAGAAUCUGUGGAAGUUGGGCAUCUCUCUUGGACUGAGAACUCCUUGCAGAUCCUGGUGGUGGCUUGGAUACGGAUCAUCCGGGCUGAGCCCCAGAGGAACAAGGAAGGAAGGCAGUGGACAGGGCUGAGCCACCACCCACGACUCCUGAGCCCAGCAGCCUCGACUGUCACCACGAACAGGGAGGGGUCACCACGGCCCGGCUCAGCCUCGCCCCCGGAGCACUGUGUGCCACGCAUCUUUUGCUCCAUUUUUAGUUAAGAUGUCAGCGUUAUGGGGACUCCAGUGGAGAGAUUCCUAAUGGGGUCAGCGCCCUGGGCACUAACAUCAAAUGCUUCUUCCUCCUCAUGGGGACAGAUGGGAUUAAUGGCCAUUGUUCCAAGGUCCUGUGCAUUAAGACAUCGAGCCCUUUGCUGAAAGAUAAAUUGCA